UACGGGAGGCAGCAGUGGGGAAUAUUGCACAAUGGGCGCAAGCCUGAUGCAGCCAUGCCGCGUGUAUGAAGAAGGCCUUCGGGUUGUAAAGUACUUUCAGUCGUGAGGAAGGUGUUAAGGUUAAUAACCUUAGCAAUUGACGUUAGCGACAGAAGAAGCACCGGCUAACUCCGUGCCAGCAGCCGCGGUAAUACGGAGGGUGCGAGCGUUAAUCGGAAUUACUGGGCGUAAAGGGCACGCAGGCGGUUAAUUAAGUUGGAUGUGAAAUCCCCGGGCUUAACCUGGGAAUGGCAUUCAAGACUGGUUAGCUAGAGUCUUGUAGAGGGGGUAGAAUUCCAUGUGUAGCGGUGAAAUGCGUAGAGAUGUGGAGGAAUCCGGUGGCGAAGGCGGCCCCUGGACAAAGGCUGACGCUCAUGUGCGAAAGCGUGGGGAGCAAACGAGGAUUAGAUACC
rnacentral:rRNA from 1 species